AAUAAAUCAAUUUAAAAAUCCAACAUUAAUUUGAUCUUUAUAUGAUUAAACAUUUAGAAGAAUAUGUAUAAAUAAAUCUUGUUUGAAGUAGUAUUUUUACAUACCAUAUUUAUGUUUUUGUUUUGAUUCUUUUUUUUAAUCGUUAAGCUUGUGGAAUCCACUGCAGAAAUCUGGUGGGGAGCUUAUAAUUUUACAUUUUUAAUACAUUUUAAUACAUGUUUUAAUACAUAUUUUAAUACAUAAUUCUUAAACAUUUUUUAAUUUAUUUUGCAGUACAUCACAACCAAGGAAGGUGAAUGAGAAAUAUGCCAGAGUAAUUGUGGUGUUGUUCCUGUACCUCAGUGACCCCUUCUUCAAAAAUGGCUAGGAGCAUUGCUAUGUUGGUGAGAGUGCCACCAGAUAUUUGCCAUGGAGAAUCAAAACUAUACAGAGAGGCAUUGCUAAAGAACAAGGAGUAUCAUUUGAAGGAAAAGGAUUGUCUUGUCAAGGCCAGAAAAGGCAUCUACGUCUCAAAUAGGGAUAUCUUGUCUUCUAGAAGAGUGAAACAAGCAUUGAGGAGCAUCUUCAAGAUAUCGCUGGAAGUGCUCAGCCCUAUGCUGUGGGAAGAAGAAUUCAGUUCACCAGUUCUUCAUUCUUGAUCAACAUGUCAUUCCAUGCAAGUAAGCCUCUUCUCUUGAUGCCUUUGAUGACAUUUUUAAUGGGAUUAAUUUACCCAAAAAUGAAAAUUCUGUCAUUAACUCUCCCUCAUGCCGUUCCAAACCCGUAAGACCUUCGUUCAUCUUCGAAACACCAAUGAAGAUAUUUUAAUGAAAUCUGAGAGAUUUCUGUCCCUCUGUUGACAGUUUACACAACUAGCACAUUCAAGGCCCAGAAAGGUAGUAAUGAGACAUUAAAGUAAUCCAUGUGACUCUGUUGGUUUAACCUCAACUUUAUACACGCAUUCACACAACAACGACUGUUUUAAUUUCAACAAAUCACUCAUGCGUC